CGAAGAAGACGAAAAAAAAGCGAAUUUGACCAACAAUCAACGACCCUUGUAUCGUUUUGUCUACCCACACACACACACACACACACACACACACACACACACACACACCCGUGGCCUGGAAAGGAAGAUGAACCUUUUUGUGUUAACCGUAGAUAGGCCCUUCCCCUAUACAUAUCUGUUUGCAUUCCUGCAUUCCCUUCGAUAUCGCCUUAACAGACAAGAACCGGUCGUGGAAGUGUGUUCUUCCCGUGGCACGUGCUCUACCCUACGCAAAAGGAAGGGGGUCGCUACGGGAAGUCGCUUGAAGCGGAAGUAAACGAAAACCAAUUUCGCCUCAACUUCCUGGUGCUGUGUACUGUGUACCGUUUUAUCUGGUAUGUGUUAUCUGGAAAACACGUCCAAGUCGUCGUCCCCGGUGAAGAAGUAGGGCAGUCGUGUGUCUGUCGCCACGGAACAUUUGUGGGGGUUUGCCGCAUAUCGGAGGAAAUUAUUCUUGGGAGAGAGAGAGCUGGUGAGCUGGAGAAAUGAUGUUUAAUUAAGGAUGUGCAUGAGCCCUUAAUCUGGAGCUGAGCUUUACUUACAAGUUACUUAUAGUUUUGGAGACUUUCUCAGACACUUUUAAGUAUCUCAAUCAACCUUAAAUUGACCAAAAAUCAUUGGAGUCCUUUAUGAUACAAGUGUUAGUGGAAUAGUAGUGAAUCAAGCGGACAGAAUCCCUCUCCAAUAUCCUUAUUUCGAUGACUAUUCACUAUCGGUGGCUUCAAACUGGGACUUCCUGGGUGAGUCAUGUUCUGUACGGCAAUUAACAUUUGAGUCAUCCUCCAACCGUCGCCGUCGUCGUCAUGGUCGCCAGGGUUGCUGGGAAGCUGGAAAAGCCAUUUUUCAUGGCCUGCUACUACUGGUGACUGACACAUCUGUUGGCCUGUUGUCAUCCUGUUGCCUGUACGCAGUUGCAGUCACUCGUGUCACUCGUGUGAUAAAUAUUCCAGCCACUCAAAUUAGGCGUAGUACAAGUAUCCUCCAAGGAUAAUGCGUAAGACACGGAAAGGAGAAAGAAAUUUACUGAAGUUUCUGUGGACCGGACGGAUCAUCAUCAUGAUGUGUACCGGCAGAGAAAGAGGACGCAGAAUGCUGACGGGUACAUGUUGCUUCCGCUGUUUGCAAGGCUCUCCGACUUGCAACGGGGAAAAUCGAUAGUGCCGGAUGAAAGUUUGCCGGCUUGUUGCUCGCGGACAAUUUUGCGGCAGAACACAUCUCCCGAAGGAGUACUAAUCUGGGCUUAAGACGCAUUGGAAGCAGCGUGGAGAACUUCCCUUGCAAAAAAGUGACCACGAAAUGUCAGUUUCAAGCAAAUUUCGGUUUGGCCUCACAGAACUUUGAACCGGCAAAACGACCACAUGGAAACAAAAUAAGUAUCCCUCACUCAUCCCUUGCCGCCUCCAGGAAGGGCCACAAAACGGGAUGGUGGGGAUGGGGAUGGGGAGUGUCCUCUUACCUACACCAGCCUGGGAUGGCUGGCUUCGCUGGCUGGCCACGUGUACAGUCCAGAUGGCUGACUGGGUGUCGGUUUUGCGCCCCUUUUCGCGCGCUGUCGCUCGUACUGCGCAGACUCACACCCCAGCGCCGUCCCCACCGUCGGGGCACGUUGGUGUGUGUGUUUCCGGCUUUUCCAACGAUGCCGGUUUCGGUGGGGGGAGGCUACCGCGGGAUGCGUUUUAGUGACGUGUCUGGACGAUCGACCCCGAAGAUAAGACCCGCGGGGGAUUGGGUUCUCUUUCUCUCUCUCUUUUACGCGUGAAGUAGACUAGCUGCUGGGGUAUUGGGAUGGGGUACUUCCAGCACACACCCCUGGACGUCGUUCGUUUGUCUGUCUGGUCUGACCCGGGUCUGAGGAGGGGGUUUACGGGAAGCUUGUCUUGUCUGUUCGUUUCUCCAAUCGCCCAAUUGCUUCGGAAAAGGGUACAUGGGGUUUGGCACGUACGGGGAAAGGAGGGGGAGCAAAAUUCAAUCCAGAAUUAGUGUGAAGUUCAACGGGAAGUACUUGGUCGCGUGUGUGUGUGUAUGCGUGGUGCGUUACUGCUGCCUUGCGCAAGCACCCACCAGGAAAUGCAACUACUUUCUGGGUAGAGGUGGUGUGUGUGUGUGUAUGUGAGCUGAAAUGUGUUUGUUUGUUCACAAGUUUUACAUCACAUUAAGGUAAUAAAAAUGAGAUGAUGAAAUUUGCAAUUCAAACAGAACUCACAGACACACACACACCGUGUGUGCGCGGCUUAAUACUGGAAUUGCACUGCGGAGCUACUUUU